rnacentral:rRNA from 1 species
ACACAUGCAAGUCGAGCGGAGACAGUGAGUAGCUUGCUAUGAGCUGUUUUAGCGGCGGACGGGUGAGUAACGCGUGAGCAACCUUUCCCAGACAGGGGAAUAACACACCGAAAGGUGUACUAAUACCGCAUAAGACCACGGAAUCACAUGGUUCUGAGGUAAAAGAUUUAUCGGUUUGGGGUGGGCUCGCGUCCGAUUAGGUAGUUGGUGAGGUAACGGCCCACCAAGCCGACGAUCGGUAGCCGACCUGAGAGGGUGAUCGGCCACAUUGGGACUGAGACACGGCCCAAACUCCUACGGGAGGCAGCAGUGGGGAAUAUUGGGCAAUGGAGGAAACUCUGACCCAGCAACGCCGCGUGGAGGAAGAAGGUUUUCGGAUCGUAAACUCCUGUCCUUGGAGACGAGUAGAAGACGGUAUCCAAGGAGGAAGCCCCGGCUAACUACGUGCCAGCAGCCGCGGUAAUACGUAGGGGGCAAGCGUUGUCCGGAAUAAUUGGGCGUAAAGGGCGCGUAGGCGGCUCGGUAAGUCUGGAGUGAAAGUCCUGCUUUUAAGGUGGGAAUUGCUUUGGAUACUGUCGGGCUUGAGUGCAGGAGAGGUUAGUGGAAUUCCCAGUGUAGCGGUGAAAUGCGUAGAGAUUGGGAGGAACACCAGUGGCGAAGGCGACUAACUGGACUGUAACUGACGCUGAGGCGCGAAAGUGUGGGGAGCAAACAGGAUUAGAUACCCUGGUAGUCCACACUGUAAACGAUGAAUGCUAGGUGUAGGGGGUAUCGACCCCUUCUGUGCCGCAGUCAACACAAUAAGCAUUCCGCCUGGGGAGUACGGCCGCAAGGUUGAAA